rfam:Cyphellophora europaea CBS 101466 unplaced genomic scaffold supercont1.13, whole genome shotgun sequence.
GCAAUCGACCAUAGAACAGGCAAUGCACCGGAUCCCGUCUGAUCUCCGCAAGUGAACGCCUGUGUCGCUGGAUCAGUAGUUGAGUGGGUGACCAUCAGCGAAUCCCCAGUGUUGAUUGUU